CAGUACUCUAUCUCUAAGUUCUAACGCCUAAUUCCUAAAUAAUCAGAACAUAAACCCUAACGCCUACUCCAUCUCGUCCUCUCGCCACCAUCUCCCUCUCCCUCUCCCCAUAGCUACCAUCUCCCUCUCGCCGACUCGCCAUAGCCAGAUCAGCAGUCAGCAGAUGAUUUAGCUAGCAAUGGAAAAGACCCUUCCUUAAUUGACGUGUAGUGUUAAUAUAUCUUGGAUCUGCUUACUUAUGGAUUAAGCUGUUGUUUGAACUUUGAAGCUGUAGAAAUUCAAGCACCGUUUGGCAUUAGCUGAAGGCCAAACAUUUCUGUGUAGUCUGCUCACUUAUGGAUUAAUCAUUUUGAAAUAUGUAUUCUGGACUCACUUUGAAUAUAGACUGAAAUUUCCUAUUCUUAAUUUGUAUGCUAGGUGUUAACAGACAUAUGUAUGUCUGGACUCAUAUGUAAUGUAGUCUGCUUUGGGAUGUAAUAUUGUAAUGAUAGGCGUUACAAACGUAUGUAUGUCUGGACUCAUAUGUUAACGCCUAUGAGUAGUGACGUUGAAGUUAUAUAAUAUAUUGUUGAUUUAAGGUAGUGAACUUUUC